GUCCGCGCCCCGCCUCCCGUCAGCCCUCGCGUUGCGCGUGCGCCUCGGAACAGCCACUGUUCCCCUGCUCCUCUUCCCGGGUGCCUUGAAGGAAGCACCUUUGCUCUGCUGCACCCAUCAGCAUGCCGUUUCCACCUUGGAGCCAGCUGACCAUCGACCGGAUCCUCUGUAAAAGGUUUUGCAAGGUGGCUUGGGGAAGAAAAGUGAAGAGGCAAAGACUUCGUAAAGAAAAUCCAAGUAAAUAAUUUUUCAUUAAAAAUUAAAGUGUGUAUUUAAAAGGCAGUCAUGUAUAUGCUUCAAAAUUUGGGGCAUGAGGAAAGUUUUCACCUGUCAGAAAUCAUGUUCUUUCCGCUAGUUUCCAGAUGUUGGCCUCCUCUCUAACAAUGUCCCCCUACUCUUCACCGUAUUUGUGCUUUUGUCCUGUUGAAUGGGGGAAGCCAAAUGUUCCUUGAGUUACAGCACCAUGAAAAUAAGCAGAAGCAUUCAAUAAGCAGAAACAUAUCUGAAUGAAAAUAAACACUGUCCUUAGUUUGUGAUUAUUUAAGACUUUCAAACAAUAUAAACAGCUUUUGUUGUUAACAAACAGAAACAAAAAGGUUAGAUUUUAAAGACACAAUAUCUAACGUAAGUAGAUUAGUAAAGUAGUGUCUCAGGUGUGUUGUCUACUAAUAAUAGAACACUCGAAUGCCUUGAAUAAUUUACUCUUAAAUCUCUCACCUGUUCAACCAACCAUAAAAUUGCUCCUUACUUAAUAUCAAAUGACAACUUUGAUUUAUGAUGACAUGUGAAUUCAACUGAGAGGAUAAAUACUCCUAGGAAUAAAUACACUUUGAUCUCAAUGGGCAAAGUAAAACUUUAAAUUAAAAAUAACAUGAAAAAUACUUUUAUUUUUGCAUAUAAAUAUGCAGAGUGUCCCCUUGUUUGACUAGUAAAGUGUUCUGUGUAUGUCUAGGAGGCAUGAUUGAAAAAUAUGGUGUGUGCUUAAAUAAAAAUACAUUUAUUUAACUAGAA